AUGUGGGGGAAGGAAACAGGAGAGGAUGUGCCUGACCAGAAGGUGGCAGAACAUGGUGAUGGCGCAGCGAAGGGAAUGCGGAAGGAGGAUUGGAUGAAUGAUCAGCAUACUGUACCUAGAACUGUCGGAACUGAAUCGUGUGUCCCAGAUGGAGGUGGGUUGAGCUGGUUAGAGGUUCUUGAGGUAGGAACUGCAGUCUGUUGCCUGGAAGAUGAACGCUUCAAGCGCCUGCCAUUGGAAGUGUGUGCUUCUGGGUACCAUUUCAAUUGUGCCGGAGACUACUUGCGUGAGCUGGGUGGCCUCUCGUCAGCUCGCCACACUCCAAGUGAAAAUGCAGGCCGGAAUAUGCCCUAA
rnacentral:rRNA from 1 species